CACCUAUCCGUAGCCCGUAGCCCAUGCAAGCCGGCAAGAGCCCGUGCAAUCCUUUCGUAGCGUUUUCGGCGUUUUUGAUAUCGUUUUACGGCCAGGUUAUUUCAAUGGAAGUGUGAUUCCAACGUUUCAUGUUGCGUGAUCAUUUCGGACACUUACAUCUUGACCGAUAUUAGCGGCAGAUGACACUGCACAUGCAGACAUGGAGGAAGACUUCUAUUACUACAUGGUCUUGGUACCAGUGACCAUACCAGUGGCUUUAUUUUUCUACUUUUGGGGUUGGAUGGGAUAUCAGGCUGUUAUAAAUAAUUGAUGCGGCGUUAUAUGCGCAGAAUCGUGUGCUUCAGCAACACUCAAACUAUCCAACACAGAAUUGCCAAUAUUGCUUCUGUUGCUGAAUCAACGGCCAUGGCAGGCAAGCCUUCAGUAGCAACAUCAUCCCCAGUGACUGCUACGUGUUCCUCAUGAGGCCCGUCAUCUUCAUCAGGACCAAGGACUUGGGCUACAGCAUCGGCAAGCGUGCUUGGAACUAAGGACCUCGAAGAUUCCAGAGGACUGUCUGUAUUUCCUACUGUACACAAAAAUGGGCCAGCAGGUGUCUCCUGGACAUCAGUGGUCUUGGAGAGACUCUGGUCUGACAACUGCAAGUUUUGGUGCACAUCAGUGCUGUCAUUUGUGGGAUCUGUAUCUGAAGGCAGUAUAGGCACUAGUGGUUGAGGCUGCAGUGGUGUCUUUCGUGGCCUGCCCGGCCUGCGCUUCACAGGAGCAUCCGCAGUGCCUCCUGCUACGUCAGGUACAGCAGCGGCACCAAGUUGGGAGGUAAAAAGAAGGUUGCCAACUGUGCUGUUGUCCAUCGAGAGGAUAACAGACUGCGGUGGCAAGAUCGAGUCCAGCUGAAGAAGUUGCUGCUGUGUACACUGCGGCAUGCCUGCUUGCAAACACACAGAAUAAUAGGUCACAGCACACACAGUAAAAAAGUAACAUUAUUAUAUAACAGGUUAAGAAAGCAGUGAUGCGAAUGACUUAUGUAAACCAGGCCGAGAAGCAUAAUGUAAAAAAUACUAGUAGAAGUAAGUAUCAUGUAACCUGUGGCAAGGCCCUGAGAGAAUAAUUUUGCUCAAAUUUUCUUUCCCCAGCAAGCCUCAACGAACGUUGCUCAUCAGUGAAAGGAUGGGCUCCGCAACCUUAGCUCGAGGGCUUUAUCUUCCGGCAUCCCUGUGCCCACUUGCUUAACCACGUGUACACAUCUUACUCUUUGUGCUGGUAUUCUCUCGGGGCUCUGUGAUAUUACUUUAUAAUGAUAUACCACACGACACAAACAAAUGAGAAUGACAUAAAAGGAACCUAAAAUGCAGAUUAAAUGCAGACUAAAAUGCA